UAUUUUUAAUGACAGCACUCCCUC
rnacentral:piRNA from 1 species